rnacentral:rRNA from 1 species
ACGGGUGCGGAACACGUACACAACCUUCCAAUAAGUGGGGAAUAGCCCAGAGAAAUUUGGAUUAAUACCCCGUAACAUAGCGAUGUGGCAUCACAUUGCUAUUAUAGAUUUUUCGCUUAUUGAUGGGUGUGCGGCUGAUUAGAUAGUUGGCGGGGUAACGGCCCACCAAGUCUACGAUCAGUAGCUGAUGUGAGAGCAUGAUCAGCCACACGGGCACUGAGACACGGGCCCGACUCCUACGGGAGGCAGCAGUAAGGAAUAUUGGACAAUGGACGCAAGUCUGAUCCAGCCAUGCCGCGUGAAGGAUUAAGGUCCUCUGGAGUGUAAACUUCUUUUAUAAGGGACGAAAAAAGGCUUUUCUAAGUCGUCUGACGGUACCUUAUGAAUAAGCACCGGCUAACUCCGUGCCAGCAGCCGCGGUAAUACGGAGGGUGCAAGCGUUAUCCGGAUUCACUGGGUUUAAAGGGUGCGUAGGCGGGCAGGUAAGUCAGUGGUGAAAUCCUAGAGCUUAACUCUAGAACUGCCAUUGAUACUAUCUGUCUUGAAUAUUGUGGAGGUAAGCGGAAUAUGUCAUGUAGCGGUGAAAUGCUUAGAUAUGACAUAGAACACCUAUUGCGAAGGCAGCUUACUACGCAUAUAUUGACGCUGACGCACGAAAGCGUGGGGAUCAAACAGGAUUAGAUACCCUGGUAGUCCACGCCCCUAAACGAUGGAUACUCG